rnacentral:rRNA from 1 species
AGAGUUUGAUCCUGGCUCAGAUUGAACGCUGGCGGCAGGCUUAACACAUGCAAGUCGAACGGUAACAGGGAGAAGCUUGCUUCUUUGCUGACGAGUGGCGGACGGGUGAGUAAUGCUUGGGAAUCUGGCUUAUGGAGGGGGAUAACUACGGGAAACUGUAGCUAAUACCGCGUAAUAUCUUCGGAUUAAAGGGUGGGACUUUCGGGCCACCUGCCAUAAGAUGAGCCCAAGUGGGAUUAGGUAGUUGGUGGGGUAAAGGCCUACCAAGCCGACGAUCUCUAGCUGGUCUGAGAGGAUGACCAGCCACACUGGAACUGAGACACGGUCCAGACUCCUACGGGAGGCAGCAGUGGGGAAUAUUGCACAAUGGGGGGAACCCUGAUGCAGCCAUGCCGCGUGAAUGAAGAAGGCCUUCGGGUUGUAAAGUUCUUUCGGUGAUGAGGAAGGUGUUUGUUUUAAUAGAACGAGCAAUUGACGUUAGUCACAGAAGAAGCACCGGCUAACUCCGUGCCAGCAGCCGCGGUAAUACGGAGGGUGCGAGCGUUAAUCGGAAUGACUGGGCGUAAAGGGCACGCAGGCGGUGACUUAAGUGAGAUGUGAAAGCCCCGAGCUUAACUUGGGAAUUGCAUUUCAUACUGGGUCGCUAGAGUACUUUAGGGAGGGGUAGAAUUCCACGUGUAGCGGUGAAAUGCGUAGAGAUGUGGAGGAAUACCGAAGGCGAAGGCAGCCCCUUGGGAAUGUACUGACGCUCAUGUGCGAAAGCGUGGGGAGCAAACAGGAUUAGAUACCCUGGUAGUCCACGCUGUAAACGCUGUCGAUUUGGGGAUUGGGCUUAGAGCUUGGUGCCCGUAGCUAACGUGAUAAA